GCUAGCUACAGGCUUAACACAUGCAAGUCGAGGGGCAGCAUGGUCUUAGCUUGCUAAGGCCGAUGGCGACCGGCGCACGGGUGAGUAACACGUAUCCAACCUGCCGUCUACUCUUGGACAGCCUUCUGAAAGGAAGAUUAAUACAAGAUGGCAUCAUGAGUCCGCAUGUUCACAUGAUUAAAGGUAUUCCGGUAGACGAUGGGGAUGCGUUCCAUUAGAUAGUAGGCGGGGUAACGGCCCACCUAGUCUUCGAUGGAUAGGGGUUCUGAGAGGAAGGUCCCCCACAUUGGAACUGAGACACGGUCCAAACUCCUACGGGAGGCAGCAGUGAGGAAUAUUGGUCAAUGGGCGAGAGCCUGAACCAGCCAAGUAGCGUGAAGGAUGACUGCCCUAUGGGUUGUAAACUUCUUUUAUAAAGGAAUAAAGUCGGGUAUGGAUACCCGUUUGCAUGUACUUUAUGAAUAAGGAUCGGCUAACUCCGUGCCAGCAGCCGCGGUAAUACGGAGGAUCCGAGCGUUAUCCGGAUUUAUUGGGUUUAAAGGGAGCGUAGAUGGAUGUUUAAGUCAGUUGUGAAAGUUUGCGGCUCAACCGUAAAAUUGCAGUUGAUACUGGAUAUCUUGAGUGCAGUUGAGGCAGGCGGAAUUCGUGGUGUAGCGGUGAAAUGCUUAGAUAUCACGAAGAACUCCGAUUGCGAAGGCAGCCUGCUAAGCUGCAACUGACAUUGAGGCUCGAAAGUGUGGGUAUCAAACAGGAUUAGAUACCCUGGUAGUCCACACGGUAAACGAUGAAUACUCGCUGUUUGCGAUAUACAGCAAGCGGCCAAGCGAAAGCGUUAAGUAUUCCACCUGGGGAGUACGCCGGCAACGGUGAAACUCAAAGGAAUUGACGGGGGCCCGCACAAGCGGAGGAACAUGUGGUUUAAUUCGAUGAUACGCGAGGAACCUUACCCGGGCUUAAAUUGCAGAUGAAUUACGGUGAAAGCCGUAAGCCGCAAGGCAUCUGUGAAGGUGCUGCAUGGUUGUCGUCAGCUCGUGCCGUGAGGUGUCGGCUUAAGUGCCAUAACGAGCGCAACCCUUGUUGUCAGUUACUAACAGGUUCCGCUGAGGACUCUGACAAGACUGCCAUCGUAAGAUGUGAGGAAGGUGGGGAUGACGUCAAAUCAGCACGGCCCUUACGUCCGGGGCUACACACGUGUUACAAUGGGGGGUACAGAGGGCCGCUACCACGCGAGUGGAUGCCAAUCCCCAAAACCUCUCUCAGUUCGGACUGGAGUCUGCAACCCGACUCCACGAAGCUGGAUUCGCUAGUAAUCGCGCAUCAGCCACGGCGCGGUGAAUACGUUCCCGGGCCUUGUACACACCGCCCGUCAAGCCAUGGGAGCCGGGGGUACCUGAAGUGCGUAACCGCGAGGAGCGCCCUAGGGUAAAACUGGA
rnacentral:rRNA from 1 species